GUAAGAGCUGACAGCGUUCAGUGAGUUCCAACACAGAGCUGGUGGGACAUGGAGUCGUCCUGCUGGCCUUUCUCUGUUCUCUACUCUGUGUGCCUGGUGUCCCCUUCUUGGGAACCCCCUGACCCCUAUCUGUCUCUCCAGGAUGAAGCAGACUUUACCUGAAGAUCCCGCACCGUUGUCUCGUGAGUGUGGACAUCGCCUUCAAGGACUGAGUAUCGGUCAAGCUUUUCUUGCUCUUGCUCCAGCCAAGCUUCAAACGCCUUCAGGUCCUGGAAUUCUAACUGGGUGACAUAGUGCUCUGUCAUGCCAGCUCCUUUGACUUCAAUGGUCUCCAGCAAGCUGCUGUGGCU